rnacentral:rRNA from 1 species
UACGGGGGGAGCAAGCGUUGUUCGGAUUUACUGGGCGUAAAGGGCGCGUAGGCGGCGUAACAAGUCACUUGUGAAAUCUCCGGGCUUAACUCGGAACGGUCAAGUGAUACUGUCGUGCUAGAGUACAGAAGGGGCAACUGGAAUUCUCGGUGUAGCGGUGAAAUGCGUAGAUAUCGAGAGGAACACCUGCGGCGAAGGCGGGUUGCUGGGCUGAUACUGACGCUGAGGCGCGAAAGCCAGGGGAGCGAACGGG